rnacentral:rRNA from 1 species
CCUGAGAAACGGCUACCACAUCCAAGGAAGGCAGCAGGCGCGCAAAUUACCCACUCCCGGCACGGGGAGGUAGUGACGAAAAAUAACGAUACGGGACUCAUCCGAGGCCCCGUAAUCGGAAUGAGUACACUUUAAAUCCUUUCACGAUUAACAAUUGGAGGGCAAGCCUGGUGCCAGCAGCCGCGGUAACACCAGCUCCAAUAGCGUAUAUUAAAGUUGUUGCGGUUAAAAAGCUCGUAGUUGAAUCUGUGUCCCACACUGUCGGUUCACCGCUCGCGGUGUCCAACUGGCAUGUCUGUGGGACGUCCUGCCGGUGGGCGCAGCCCCUCAAAAGGCGGCCCAACUCAAAAUCCUACCACGGUGCUCUUCACCGAGUGUCGAGGUGGGCCGGUACGUUUACUUUGAACAAAUUAGAGUGCUUAAAGCAGGCUCAUUCGCCUGAAUAUUCUGUGCAUGGAAUAAUGGAAUAGGACCUCGGUUCUAUUUUGUUGGUUUUCGGAACUCCGAGGUAAUGAUUAAUAGGGACAACUGGGGGCAUUCGUAUUGCGACGUUAGAGGUGAAAUUCUUGGAUCGUCGCAAGACGGACAGAAGCGAAAGCAUUUGCCAAAUGUGUUUUCAUCAAUCAAGAACGAAAGUUAGAGGUUCGAAGGCGAUCAGAUACCGCCCUAGUUCUAACCAUAAACGAUGCCAGCUAGCGAUCCGCCGAAGUUCCUCCGAUGACUCGGCGGGCAGCUUCCGGGAAACCAAAGCUUUUGGGUUCCGGGGGAAGUAUGGUUGCAAAGCUGAAACUUAAAGGAAUUGACGGAAGGGCACCACCAGGAGUGGAGCCUGCGGCUUAAUUUGACUCAACACGGGGAACCUCACCAGGCCCAGACACCGGAAGGAUUGACAGAUUGAGAGCUCUUUCUUGAUUCGGUGGGAGGUGGUGCAUGGCCGUUCUUAGUUGGUGGAGCGAUCUGUCUGCUUAAUUGCGAUAACGAACGAGACUCUAGCCUGCUAAAUAGGCGUACUUUCCGGUAUCUCGAAGGCCCGCCGGCUCGGCUUCGGUCGUUGUCGUGUGUGGUUUUUACUACCGGCGUACACAUAAAUCUUCUUAGAGGGACAGGUGGCAUUUAGUCGCACGAGAUUGAGCAAUAACAGGUCUGUGAUGC